UUUGUGUGCCAUCGUGAACUUA
rnacentral:miRNA from 1 species